rnacentral:rRNA from 1 species
AUUGAACGCUGGCGGCAGGCCUAACACAUGCAAGUCGAACGGUAACAGGAAGCAGCUUGCUGCUUCGCUGACGAGUGGCGGACGGGUGAGUAAUGUCUGGGAAACUGCCUGAUGGAGGGGGAUAACUACUGGAAACGGUAGCUAAUACCGCAUAACGUCGCAAGACCAAAGAGGGGGACCUUAGGGCCUCUUGCCAUCGGAUGUGCCCAGAUGGGAUUAGCUAGUAGGUGGGGUAACGGCUCACCUAGGCGAUGAUCCCUAGCUGGUCUGAGAGGAUGACCAGCCACACUGGAACUGAGACACGGUCCAGACUCCUACGGGAGGCAGCAGUGGGGAAUAUUGCACAAUGGGCGCAAGCCUGAUGCAGCCAUGCCGCGUGUAUGAAGAAGGCCUUCGGGUUGUAAAGUACUUUCAGCGGGGAGGAAGGGAGUAAAGUUAAUACCUUUGCUCAUUGACGUUACCCGCAGAAGAAGCACCGGCUAACUCCGUG